GCCUCGUUGGCGCAGCAGGCAUCGCGUCAGUCUCAUAAUCUGAAGGUCGUGAGUUCGAUCCUCACACGGGGCA
rnacentral:tRNA from 1 species